rnacentral:rRNA from 1 species
CAAAAUCCGCCUGGUUUGAUGAACCUGAUAGUACUCCAAGGCUUCGGCCGGCGAGAUAGUGACCCUAAUCAUGCCCGCGAGAAAAUCUUCUAAGGUUAGGCUAAGACAACCCGUACCGUAAACCGACACAGGUAGUCGAGAUGAGUAUUCUAAGGCGCUCGGGUGAGCCGCGGAGAAGGAACUAGGCAAAUUAAUGCUGUAACUUCGGGAUAAGGCAUGCCACUCAGUGAUGAGUGGCCUCAGUAAAUUGGUUCAACCAACUGUUUAGCAAAAACACAGGGCCCUGCAAAUUCGAAAGAAGACGUAUAGAGCCUGAUACCUGCCCGGUGCCGGAAGGUUAAGGAAGCUUGCUUCGGAGUAAUCCAAAGCUUGUGACCGAAGCCCCGGUAAACGGCGGCCGUAACGAUAACGGUCCUAAGGUAGCGAAAUUCCUUGUCGGGUAAGUUCCGACCUGCACGAAUGGUCUAAUGAGUUGAACACUGUCUCCUCCGCGAGCCCGGUGAAAUUGUAGUAUCGGUGAAGAUGCCGGUUACCCGCCACGGGACGGAAAGACCCCGUGAACCUUCACUACAACUUUGCAUUGAUUUGAGUAACAGAUGUGUAGCAUAGCUGGGAGACUACGAAGCAGGGCCGCCAGGUCUUGUGGAGUCACCGUUGAAAUACCAGCCUUCUGUUACUUAGAGUCUAAUCCCCUUCGGGGGAAACAUUGCAUGGUGGGUAGUUUGACUGGGGUGGUCGCCUCCUAAAGAGUAACGGAGGCUCGCAAAGGUUCCCUCAGCAUGGUUGGUAAUCAUGCGUAGAGCGCAUUAGUAUAAGGGAGCUUGACUGUGAGGCUGACCAGCCGAGCAGGUGCGAAAGCAGGCUAAAGUGAUCCGGUGGUUCCGCAUGGAAGGGCCAUCGCUCAAAGGAUAAAAGGUACUCCGGAUAACAGGCUGAUCUCCCCCAAGAGCUCAUAUCGACGGGGAGGUUUGGCACCUCGAUGUCGGUUCGUCACAUCCUGGGGCUGGAGAAGGUCCCAAGGGUUGGGCUGUUCGCCCAUUAAAGUGGCACGUGAACUGGGUUCAGAACGUCGCAAGACAGUUCGGUCCCUAUCUGUGGUGGGCGUUAGUAAAUUGAAGGGGAUGUGAUCUUAGUACGAGAGGACCGGAUCGCGUGUACCGCUGGUGUAUCUGUUGUGCCGCCAGGUGCUGUGCAGAGUAGCUACGUACAGUACAGGAUAAGCGCUGAAAGCAUCUAAGCGCGAAGCCAACCUCAAGAUGAGUUUACUUUAUAAGGGUCGCAGCAGACUACUGCGUUGAUAGGCUAUAGAUGUAAUACUGGCAACAGUAGAGUCGAGUAGUACUAAUUACUC